GGGAUGUACAGAAAUACAUCUGGCUAGAAUACUCUGUCUAGGAAAAACUCCAGUAAUUUUGCUAAAUGGAUUUCAAGCAGUGAAGGAUGCUUUGACUGGCCACACAGAAGAAUUUUGAGAGACUUGUGGAAUCCUUUUUGAGGGAUGUCAUGGAAGACCCCUGCAGCAUCAUCUUUGCCAAUGAGCACACUCAGAUGCAGCAGAGAUGGGUCAGCUUGAGGCUGCCAUGUGCCAGAUGCUGCUCAGAGGCUCCCACGCCAUGGCAGAAUUCCACUGUGGCUCCUGGCCUUAGGUGAGCAAGGACUGACCUGUUUUCUGUAACUGUAUCACAAGCCAGCAGUGUUCCUCCGUGAGCUG